GCCUGGGUGGCUUGGUCGGUUAAGCGUCUGACUUCAGCUCAGGUCAUGAUCUCACGGUCUGUGAGUUCGAGCCCCGCGUCGGGCU
rnacentral:tRNA from 1 species